CCAAUAGCGGAGUCGAGAAGAAGCCUAAUUUUCUUUCUACACAGACCAGACCGAUUCUUUCUCUAAUCAGUCAGACUAUCAUCCUCGACUUGAUCUCCGACCAUUAGGGCUAAACAUUCGCGCACGAGGGUUUAUAUGCGACUUAUUUAGGGGUUAAAUCUUCACAGAGUCGCAACCUUCUUCUCCACAGUCAGUUCGUCGCGCGCACGAGAUAUAUGAAAUUGGUGGAGGAUCUGGAACAUGUGCAAAGGGGAUAAUGGAUUACAUAAUGUUGAAUGCACCAAGCCGAGUGUACACUAGCAUGACAUACACUUCUGUGGAAAUCAACCCUUCACUUGCAAAAAGACAAAUGGAAACAAUUGGAGAAAAUCGAAGUCAUUCAUCAAGAUUUAAAAUAGAGUGUUGAGAUGCUGUUGACCGAGAUGGAUAGGGGGAUUUAAAGAAACAACCAUGCUGGGUUAUAAUGAUGGAGGUACUUGAUAAAAUCUUCCCCAUGAUUUGGUUUGUUCAGAAAACCAGGUUUCACCAUGGAUGGAUGUGUGUGUGGAAAGGAAGCAUGAUAGAUAAGAAACUUGGUUGAGACCUAGAGCCAAAGUUGGUUUAUAUCAGCAACUGGCUGGUUUGUACUCCAUUAUCCCUGAAUAAGAAUUACUUAAGUAUUGAUGGCUGACUGAAGUAUUCAUCCUCGAGUUGUCAUCUUCCACUUUAUGCGAAAAUUAAUUUACUUAAGUAUUCAUACUCGAGUUGUCAACUGUAAGAGUUGUCAACUGUAUGAAGAAGAAAUGUGGACACAUCAAUCAGGGGAGGUUCAAGAAGAAGAUUAAGAA